rnacentral:rRNA from 1 species
GACGAACCACACGAACGUUAUUCGGAAUUACUGGGCUUAAAGGGUGCGUAGGCGGUGCAGAAAGUUAGGUGUGAAAUCCCCCGGCUCAACCGGGGAAUUGCGCUUAAAACUACUGUGCUAGAGGAAUACAGAGGUGAGCGGAACUUCGGGUGGAGCGGUGAAAUGCGUUGAUAUCCGAAGGAACACCGGUGGCGAAAGCGGCUCACUGGGUAUUUUCUGACGCUGAUGCACGAAAGCUAGGGGAGCAAACGGG